rnacentral:lncRNA from 1 species
UGAAAUUGAGAGAUUGAAAUAUAUAAUAUCUUGCAUCUCGUGAAAAUAGAGAGACUGUUAUAGCUCGUAAAAUAGAGAGAUUGUUUUCGCUCUGUACUUUCAUCACAAAAAUAAAUUUCCAGUGAUCUUAAUUCACAUCUUCUUCUCCACCUCUUUUACCUGUCAAACACACACACUCUUUUUCCUCCAUUUCAAUUACCAAAAACCUCCCUCACCAUCCCCAUAAACCCCAAAAUCUUCCUCCUCCUUCCAUGUCCUAAAAUACCUACCCCCACGCCACCCCACCCCCACCCCCNNNN